UGUGCCCCCCGCUCCAAAACAUUUUUGGGGCUGCCUCUAAUGCCUGUUUCGCUGACUUGCCUCAUAUCGCCGCCUCUCAUCUUUAGCUGCCUCCUGUUCCUCUUUCGGACAGAGAUAUUCCCCAGCCUGUCUCCAGGGUCCCUUUCCAUCCAGUAUCUCCUCCCAAGUCCACGAAUCCUGAACCCUCUGCUCCUCCAUACCACACUGCUUGGUCCACUUGUGGUGGGUAGUUCUGUAAUGGUCUUCUGAUGAGGAAGGAUCAGACCAAAGUGCAGCGUGGAAGGAAGUCUCAGGAGAAAUGUGAAGCUGACUACAGUGUUGGGAGGAGUAGGUGACGUCUGAAGGUCCAGCAGGAUGACAUGCUGUUAUCAUGACUGUCCUGAUCAGGUCAGGUUACAGGAGACCACAACCCUACAGAUAAUCUCUCAACCCCAACAGAGGAGGAGAGAUCUAGGGGUCUGAAGAUGUUUUUUUUAUUACCCCUCACACCCAUGGUAAAUCUUAGGCCACAGACAAAUUCCUUUGUCCUGUUACUAUGGAGAACCAGCCUCAGAACAUUAAACAUGAAAUAAAGGGAUUUGAAACAAUGGUUUCCGUCAGCCACAAUGGUGGUGAUGACGAUAGAUGGAAUAUGAAAAUGUAUGUCAUUUUUGUUUUGUUAUUAAAUGUUAAAUAGAUUACAUUAUUACGGAAACAUUGUAACGUGAAGAGUUUUCCUAGUAUAUGUUUGAUGUUUAUACAUUGUACGUUGUAUGGAAAAUAUCCAAAUCAAAGAGAAUGAUUUGGGAAAGAUUAAAUGUGAAGUUAGUUGUCUAAAAUUGGAUUUGAGUCAAAUCUAGACUUUGCCCUCAUAACUUGGUACGCCCAGAGUAUUGCCCUAAAGGCGGUUAUGCCCACUUCUGACCCAAGGGUAUAAAACCUGUGAGUAAAGAAUUUACAGACAAGACUACGUGACCCAAGCUGCAGCCAAGGUCUAAAAAGUCAACUAACCCAAAAUGCAGCGCAAGUUUGAAGACAAACCUUUUUCUACCCAAGCUACGGAUGAGUAGCUGUGUCUAAGCGGAUGAAUUCAAGUCGAACCACCUAGCCUCCAUCUCCCAUCGAAUCGUGGUAUCUACACUGUUUCAUUCCAACGCUGUGAGCUCUGAGCUACAGAGCUGUCUGUCCUCAGAAGACCCCUUCCAGAGAAAGAGUGAGGGAACAGACUCCUAAGCCAAAAGGACACUGACAUCGGGAGGAUGAUCAGAGGUGCGCUGGAGAAGUGCGUUAUCGAGCAGCCUGAACGGUCUACGCAGAGAAUCCUCGGAGGUCUUCCCCACGUAAUUACAUCAUUAUAUUCUGACCCAUAAGAGCGGCAGUGUGAAGCAAGGCUAAAGUUAGAAUAGCAUAGCUGACAAAUUCACCCAAAUGUAUAUUUCUCUUGUGUACUUUCUUUUUCCUCUCUCUCUUUGAAAUCCCCAUUUUGGGUAACUUGCGCCAUAGUGUGUUGGCCCGUUAUACUAAGUUCUAAUCAAUAGCCUAUAAUGUGUAUCUAUCAUCAUUUUAGCU
ensembl:lncRNA